GUCGCAGGUUCGAAUCCUGCACGACCCACCAAUAUACAAGGUGGUAACUGGUAGAGAACGUGAAGGUUAACGUUGCUUUAGCAACGGCCCGAAGGGCGAGGCGAAGCCGAGUCAUCCUGCACGACCCACCA
rnacentral:sRNA from 2 species